GAUGAAGAACGCAGCGAAAUGCGAUAAGUAAUGUGAAUUGCAGAAUUCAGUGAAUCAUCGAAUCUUUGAACGCACCUUGCGCCCUUUGGUAUUCCGAAGGGCAUGCCUGUUUGAGUGUCAUGAAACCUCACCCCACUUGGGUUUUUGCCUGAGCGGUGGUGUAUUGGGUGUUGCCUUGCUAAAGGCUCGCCUUAAAGACAUAAGCACCUUGGAUGUAAUACGUUUCAUCCUUCUGGGUGGCUGAUAACCCCAAAUAUUCAUGAUCUGGCCUCAAAUCAGGUAGGGCUACCCGCUGAACUUAAGCAUAUCAAUAAGCGGAGGA
rnacentral:misc_RNA from 1 species